rnacentral:lncRNA from 1 species
GGCAGUUUGAAAGGCCUCCAAAAAAGCAUGACAUUCAAUCAAAGUUCAGCAAGGAAAGUUUUAAUGAAUAAACUUAGUAAAUUAGAAAGCACUGCGGCAGAGUGAUUAACUCUCAUUUGGGCAUUAGUGUUGAAAUUAAUUAAAAUGUUUAAGCCAUAGGAGGCAGGCUACCUCGUCAGGACCUGGCUCUGCCCUCGGAGUCAGUCUGGAUCCAGGAGUGAUUCAUCUUACACAGAUGAGAGGGGGAUAAAAGGAAAAGAACAGUCAGGACAAAUGUGUUUUCAAUGGUGCUUAGCAGCAGGAGACCACUGGGACUUCAGAGCAACGCUACUGGAGUGUGACAUCAUAAUACGUACCACAUAUGAAAGGAGGGUGGCCUAGAGACUGUUGAAUAUGCUAACUCCUAAUAAAGGACUGGAGAAAAGGAAGCCCAUACUACAUUUGAAUUUAAAGAAAAACAGGUUGCAUCCUUGCAUUAAAGGAGAAUGGGAACCAGGCUAGAGCCAAAGAUCUUCCAGCCUUUCUCUGGAAUGGACCGAAUAUGGAAUAACAUGGACAUGUCUGAUGCACAUCUGGAGAUGGGACGGCAGCGCAUAAUACUUCCUGGAACUGCGAGACAAUGGGGUUGUCUUUUGACAUUGAGGCAGGUUAUUAAAUAGAAGUGUGAACUAUUAAGAGAUGAUCUUGACCCUCAAUACAUUUUUAUCAAAGUCAAAAAAUAUUUGACACCACUGAACAGCUUAUCACAGGCACAAAAGGGGAAAUGCUUUAUUAUGGAAAUGUGUACUAUGUUCUUCAAAACAGAAGAAUAAAAAUAUAUGCAUUUUUAAAUGAAUAACAGCUUGUAAGACUCCCAAUGAUUAACAGCAGUUGUACAUUAAGUAUUCUCUGAAAUGAUAUUUGUAAACUGGAGGGUUGACCAAUCUUAGUGCGAACUUCCU